UACGUAGGGGGCAAGCGUUGUCCGGAUUUAUUGGGCGUAAAGCGCGUGUAGGCGGCCAGGUAGGUCAGUUGUGAAAACUCGGGGCUCAACCCCGAGACGUCGAUGGAAACCCCCAGGCUAGAGUCCGGAAGAGGAGAGUGGAAUUCCCGGUGUAGCGGUGAAAUGCGUAGAUAUCAGGAGGAAUACCGAUGGCGAAGGCAGGUCUCUGGGCUGACACUGACGCUCAUGCACGAAAGCGUGGGGAGCAAACAGG
rnacentral:rRNA from 1 species